rnacentral:lncRNA from 1 species
UUACCUCUCCUUUUCUGUUAUUACAUCAUUUGUUUUAAAGGCCUAUGACUGUCUAGUUAUUGCUUAUAAGGUUGAUUACUCAACAGGUUUGCAGUUAAGCAGUAACCAUGAGGCUAACAGCAUACAGCUUGCUGUAAGGACCUUUAGUGUUUGUCCACUGUCGGAGGCAUUGCUUCCUCCUUCCUGGACCCGAUAAGCAGACCAUUGUACUGCUGGCCUUCCGGUGGAUGCGUCUUUCCAUAUGGCCUGUAUGACAGAAGAGUUGUCACAUUUUCCAUGUUAUAACAGUCACUAGGAUAAUCGAACAAUUGGUGUUACAAAUGAAUAGAAAUAGCUGGUCAUCACUCAGCUCUGCCUCUGAACACGUAUGUUCUCAAUUGGCACCAUCAUGUUACAGUAUGCCACAGUCGGUGGGCACAACGCUGCAUUUAACUAAUUUAUCCUCACCUGGAGUUGAAUAAUGUAUAGACAAAAUCACAUACUAGAGAGGGAAGCUAACACAGGUCAGUAGAUGUCACUGUUAUCUGUUUCCUCUUCCCUUGGCCUUUGGAUGGGGUUUCCAAUACCUAGUGUUUUUAAAUUAGCAUUGUCGUUUGAGCAGUUUGGAGGAGUGACUGAAGUCAAACAUGAAAACUUAGUUUAUUGAGGUGGGACCUAAUUACCAGUAGAGCGGAUGGAGAAGGAGUAAGAACGUCUUACACUUCAGCUCCAACAGCCAGCUGUUUUGUAGUAGUUAUUAAUACAAGGUCAGUAUCCCUAUCUGAGCUGCUCUACACCAGGAAGGUUUCACUGCCAGAUACUGAAAUGUUUGCACACUCUACUAGUUGAGCAUCCCUGACCUACAAAUCCGAAAUCCUCCAAAUUCAAGAAACUUUGGAGUCCUUCAGAUUUCCACAUUAGUGAUAUUCCCACCUGUGCUUUACCCAAAGAGAAAAAGAUCCAGGACCAUCCUCUCACAAGAAAUAUAGUAGCUGUUUGUUUCUUCAUUCCUCACUAGUCACAAAAAAAAAAAAACAAAACAAAAACAAAACAGGUUUUUCUUGUUGUUUUUCCUUUUCUGUGCUGAGAGCAAGAAUUUGGAAUGAGAAAGCCUGGGUUUAAGCCUAAGUGUCUUUACUCUGUGGAUCUGUGGGGCUGAGCAGAUAACAUUGUCUGAGCAUUUGUUUGACUUAGUUUCUCAGUCUGUAGAGUAGACACCAUAAAUUCUUCCUUCUGCCUUCCUCCAUGUGGCUGUGAAGAUUGGGCUAUGUGACCACUUGUGACAAUCUGGAAUGCCAGGGUUGUCGCUUACCACGGGCUCUGAGAUAGCAAAGGAAAAACUGUGUGUGUGAGCAGACCAAAACUAAGUGCCAUCCCAGAUGAGAAUGCAGCUGCAGUGAUCUGUCUAAAAUUAAAAAUGUUCUUGAGGUGACAGAAACAGCAGGGGUGCCCGGUUGUAAAUGUUUAUGCUUUGAACUGUCCUCACAAUAGUCACAUGACUAAGCACACUUAAAGUUGAGGCACAGGGUUAGUUGUCAAAGUGCAUUGAGUUUAAAUAUGGAUUUAAACCCAGGCCUAUAUCCCCAAUCCCUUUACCCGUCCCAGCCAUUGACAAUGUACUGUACAUCUGUAAGAAUUUCCAGAAGACUUUCCAAACUGUCUCUGUAAUUGUUUUCAUACAGUAGUUGUGAAGAGUAAUUUUAAGAAACUUCUAAGAAUGGAUUUUUCCAUUUCUGCUAAGUCUGCUUGACCAGUAUGUACAAGGUGGAACUCGUGUGUGUCACUAGGCAGCCCACGGUGGUUUUACCAUGGGAGGUGAGAACUAACUGAAAUGACUGCUGGUUUGCUGUACUUCUGUAAUCAGACUUUACAAGCCAUGACAUUAAUUGCACUCUGUUUUUGUCAAAGCCCUGUGCUGUUUAAAGAGAGACUGUAAAGGCGCUGUCACGGUGCGGAGUUGAGUAACCACUCCACUGUUUAACCUGCAUAACUUUUUGUCAUUGUCUUAAAGCCAAGCUGUGUUUGCAUAUAUGAAAGUAAUUGUUUCUUAGAAACAUGUGACAAUUUUCAAAGUAGUGUAUAAUGACACUGUUUAGUACAUUUUAUAUUUUUUGUUACAUCCCACUUUUUGUAAAUAUUCUCAAAACUUGAUAAUAAAAUGUAUUUCUCUAUC